rnacentral:rRNA from 1 species
AUGAAGAGAUGUGAUGAUCUAAUGAACCAGAAGCAAUCCAUUGGAGCUGUCUUACACAAGGGAACAAAGAAAUCCAAUAUAGAUGAUGUGGCUGCUGUUGCUUUGAAGAAUGCUCCUCAGAAUUUAAAGUUGGUUUCUUCGACUAUCCAGAAACAUAUUGUGAAAGCUUGUGCGAUAGAAACAGUGAAAGCAAUCAUAGAAGAUCUGGGAGAUGAAUACUUUGCUAUAUUGGUUGAUGAAGAUAUGCUUAGAGAGAAACAAGCAAAAAGAGUCCAGAUGGCACUGCAGAAUGGAGAACUGGAAACUGGUAGAGGUUUGAAUCAAGAACUUGGACUUAAACGAGCUGGGGAUACUCGUUGGGGUUCUCAUUUCAGCUCUCUCUUGAAUAUGAUUGUUAUGUUCCCCUCGGUAAUUGAAGUUGUAGAUGAUAAUGCACAAAACGCCAGCAAAGCUCUCGAUAGGAUUAAAGCAAAGGGUGUUCUGGACGCUAUUCAAACAUUUGACUUUGUUUUCAUGAUGCACUUGAUGAAGGCUGACAUUGUGAAUGCUGUGUCGUAUCUUCACACAACCAAAAGAAGGCUACAGGAAAUGAGAAACCAAGGUUGGGAAGGUAUGAUUAAAAAGGUUACUGAUUUUUGCAUUGAACAAGAUAUUGAACUUUCUGAUAUGGAUGCUAUGCAUAUUCCCCGAGGAUCGAAAUCAAAGCGUAAGGUUCAGACUGAUGGCAUAUCAAAUAAGAAUUACUACCAAAGUGUGAUGUACGCCAUUAUUGAUAUGUUACGUGUAGAGAUUGAUGACCGCUUUAGUGAAAGAAGCACAACCUUGCUUCUUGGGAUGGCUUCUUUGGAUCCUUCUGAUUUGUUUCUAAUUUCGACAAAGAAAAAGUGUUAG